rnacentral:rRNA from 1 species
GAUGAACGCUGGCGGCGUGCCUAAUACAUGCAAGUCGAGCGAACAGACGAGGAGCUUGCUCCUCUGACGUUAGCGGCGGACGGGUGAGUAACACGUGGAUAACCUACCUAUAAGACUGGGAUAACUUCGGGAAACCGGUGCUAAUACCGGCUCAUAUAUUGAACCGCAUGGAUCAAUAGUGAAAGACGGCUUUGCUGUCACUUAUAGAUGGAUCCGCGCCGCAUUAGCUAGUUGGUAAGGUAACGGCUUACCAAGGCAACGAUGCGUAGCUGACCUGAGAGGGUGAUCGGCCACACUGGAACUGAGACACGGUCCAGACUCCUACGGGAGGCAGCAGUAGGGAAUCUUCCGCAAUGGGCGAAAGCUUGACGGAGCAAUGCCGCGUGAGUGAUGAAGGUCUUCGGAUCGUAAAACUCUGUUAUUAGGGAAGAACAAAUGUGUAAGUAACUAUGCACGUCUUGACGGUACCUAAUCAGAAAGCCACGGCUAACUACGUG